AGUGUGAUUGGAGUAGCAGAAGAGACUAGAAGAUGGGGAUGAAGAAGGAAUCGGGUGAGAGCAAAGGAAGGCCGUGAAGCCAUUGUCAGAAAUUUGUCCUUUAUCCUGACUGAGCAGAAGAAACACUGAAGGAUUUUGAGCAGAGGCAUGUCUUGAUUUCAUUUCAUUUUUAGAGGUAUAGAUAAUUCAGGCUGCUAUUUUGAGACUCGACUGAGAAGAGGUGUGUACUGGCACCCGUUUCCUACAGAUGUGUCCCUCCACUCUUUGAAGCCGAGGGCAAAAUCAUGCUGAAGACCUAGAAAUCCCACCAGUCUGAAGACCAGCUGCAACCACAAUGGGUUAGCCCUUUUCAGGUGCUGCUGACCAUUCAUACUAAUCUGUCAAGUUAGCUGGUGUUAAGCCAUGGAUUCUUCAUACUUAGAGAAAACCAGUCCCUUUGGGAUCCCUCCAAGGAAAACAGUGAUUUUCUUGUGAACCCUCGGACCGGCUUAAGUUAACAUUCAAAGUCCAGUCAAGGCCCUAGAUAAGACUUCAGAAAGGGAACAUGCACUUUUCAGGUUAUUCUUCUCUCCCAAACCCUGGUUCUUUGCAUGCAAGAUAUAAUGAAUUAGGAAGACUUUUUCAUAGGCUUAGGAUUGUUCUCUUGGAUUCCCCAGGAGAUCUGUUCCAUAUUCUUUGGUAUUUUAAAAUUUGGUCUAUCUAUCUUAUUAAUCAUCCAAUCUCAAUGUGGCUUAAAAUGUUCUUCUGAAACCAAAUAAAGGUACAAAGACCAUGGUGCUCCAACAAGCUGGAUGGCAGCCAGGUACUCAUGAGUACUGACAAUUAUAGGUGUGAAAUUUUCAUUUCUCAUCAUUAUUCCAGGAUGCCUCCUCUUCAGCAUAAAGCAGCCAGAAAGAUUGAUGACCAGCUUCCCCAGGAUUGAGGAACUGAUAAGUGGAAAGAGGGGACUGAAACCACCCCAAUUGUCCCGUAGAAUUGAUGUUUAUGAUCUUUUGGAAUAAACAUAGAUAUUGACCCUCAUGGUCUUAAAGAUUGAAAUGUACAUUGCCUGAGUUCCUUCCUCAGAAAACAAAAACUCAGGGCUCUGAGUAUCAAGGAACUGAAACUCACCAGGUCACCACAUCCAGACAAUGAGACAACAGACCCCUUAUUCAUCAUGAUUACUUCCUUCCCCCUCCGUUAUUCCCGUUUUCCCACAUGUAGCUCCAUUCCUUCCCUUUUAUAUAAACUCCCAAUUUUAAUUGAUUGGAGAGGACUUGAGACUUAUCUCUCAUCUCCUCAGCUGAUAUCACCUGAUUAAAGCCUUUCUUUCAUGGCAAUAC
rnacentral:lncRNA from 1 species